rnacentral:rRNA from 1 species
GUAGGUGGCAAGCGUUGUCCGGAAUUAUUGGGCGUAAAGCGCGCGCAGGUGGUUCUUUAAGUCUGAUGUGAAAGCCCCCGGCUCAACCGGGGAGGGUCAUUGGAAACUGGGGAACUUGAGUGCAGGAGAGGAAAGUGGAAUUCCACGUGUAGCGGUGAAAUGCGUAGAUAUGUGGAGGAACACCAGUGGCGAAGGCGACUUUCUGGCCUGUAACUGACACUGAGGCGCGAAAGCGUGGGGAGCAAACAGGGAUUAGAUACCCUGGUGGUCCACGCCGUAAACGAUGAGUGCUAAGUGUUGGGGGGGUUUCCCGCCCCUCAGUGCUGCAGCUAACGCAUUAAGCACUCCGCCUGGGGAUACGGUCGCAAGACUG